rnacentral:rRNA from 1 species
CCUACGGGGGGCAGCAGUGGGGAAUAUUGCACAAUGGGGGAAACCCUGAUGCAGCGACGCCGCGUGAAGGAAGAAGUAUUUCGGGAUGUAAACUUCUAUCAGCAGGGAAGAAAGUGACGGUACCUGACUAAGAAGCCCCGGCUAACGACGUGCCAGCAGCCGCGGUAAUACGUAGGGGGCAAGCGUUAUGCGGAUUUACUGGGGGUAAAGGGAGCGUAGGCGGCGAUGCAAGUCAGAAGUGAAAGCCCGGGGCUCAACUCCGGGACUGCUGUUGAAACUGGAUGGAUAGAUUGCAGGAGAGGCAAGUGGAAUUCCUAGUGUAGCGGUGAAAUGCGUAGAUAUUAGGAGGAACACCAGUGGCGAAGGCGGCGUGCUGGACUGUAAAUGACGCUGAGGCUCGAAAGUGUGGGGAGCAAACAGGAUUAGAUACCCUUGUAGUC